rnacentral:rRNA from 1 species
UACGAAGGGGCUAGCGUUGCUCGGAAUCAGCUAGGGCGUAAAGGCGCGUGAGGGCGGCGCCACAAGUCACCUGUGAAAACUCUGGGCUCAACCCAGAGCCUGCAGGCGAAACUGUGGUGGCUGGAGUAUGGGAGAGGUGCGUGGAAUUCCCGGUGUAGCGGUGAAAUGCGUAGAUAGUCGGGAGGAACACCUGUGGCGAAAGCGGCGCACUGGACCAUAAACUGACGCUGGAGGCGACG